UAAAUAUCACUACAUAGUAUAAAACAAAGUCGCUUUUUCUGUCAUGUUGUAUGUCCCUAUGAACGCUUAAAUCUUUAAAACUACGCAACGGAUUUUGAUGCGGUUUUUUUUAAUAGAUAGAGUAACUCAUGAGGAAGGUUUUUAUGUAUAAUACAGGUAUAAUAUAUCACCAUUGCACCCAUGCGAAGCUGGGGCGGGUCGCUAGUUUAUAAUAAAUCUGUAGAGAGGUCAAUUGUGUACAUUAAAUAUAUUUUAAAAUAACUAUCAGAGGGUGAUUAGUGAUAGAUUAACAAUUCAAUAAAAAAGUUAUCUUAUAAAUCGGUGUAGAAACAUCAAAGUUACAUACAUACAUAUCGUCACGCCUUUAAUUCCCGAAGGGGUAGGCAGAGGUGCACAUUAUGGCACGUAAUGCCACUGUGUACACCCACAUUUCCCAGUUUAUGUUGUAAGUCCCAUGUAAUAGGUGGUGAGCCUAUUGCCAUAUACCGGGCACAUUUCCAGACUUCGUGCUACCACUAAGAAAUUUCCGAAAAACCGAAAAAAGCCCAGUAAUACUUCACCCGACCCGGGAAUCGAACCCGAGACCCCUUGCCCGGCAGUUGCACUUGCAACCACUCGACCAACGAGGCAGUCAAAUAAGCCAUCGGGCGUGGUUAUUUUUGUGUCAUGGAAGGAGUUACUCGCUGACGGAGUUGCGGGCAAAAGCUAGUUUCGAAUAAAGCGAUAACUUAAUAAAGAUAUUGAAUAAGUUUUUUUUGGUUCCGGGUUGUUCAUACGCAGUCAUUAAUCAUUUAAAACGUGAGUAUAAAUAGCGCGAGCUGCAGUGUGCCGGCAUCAUUCAGUGGUGCAGUACUUACUUACCGCGCGGCAGAGUGGACGAGUCCCGCACAAGAUGAAGUCGUGCACAAUAUUGUUCCUGCUCAUUGUCGCACUCUGUGCUUGCGGUGCUUUAGGAGCACAGAUUGUCAUUUUAGAUCCGCGUUGUCCUGACUUAAAAGAAAAGUGUUUUAAUGGUAAUGGAAAAUGUGAGAUUGUUAACGGUGAAAUUAAAGUAUCUUGUUGGAUGUCGCAAGCUGCGAGUGUGAUAAAGAAGGAGUAUUUUGCAAACAAAAAAAUAAACGAAUCAAAUCAAGCCUGACUCGGACAUGGAACCAAAAUUAUUGAAACUGAGAAAUCGACUUCAAGCACUGACAAAUAACUAAUUUUACAAGUUUCAAAGUCAACUUCUUCAUCGUCAUCACAUCGAGCACAAGCCGUCCACUGCUGAACAUACGCCUCCCCCAAUGGCUCGAGCGGUCGGUUGGAAGCGGCCUGCAUCCAGCGGCUCCCUGCGACUGCGUCAGGUUUUAAUCUUGCUUACACGCCCAGUAAACGUGUUACUGUAACGUUAUCAAUAAACAUUAACCAGCUGC